UUAGAGCGCACGCCUGAUAAGCGUGAGGUCGAUGGUUCAAGUCCAUUUAGGCCCAUUUCUAUAACAACAUGGGGGAUUAGCUCAGAUGGGAGAGCGCCUGCUUUGCACGCAGGAGGUCAUCGGUUCGAUCCCGUUAUCCUCCAUUGACAACGCAAGUUGUCGUAACUUUGUACUUUGAAAACUGAAUACUCUAUUUUAUUUUCUUGUUUUAAAAACCGAGAAAAACACCGCGUUUUAAAGAGUUUUAAGAGAAUUAACAACGCUAAACUCAUUAACCGAUACCGUAGGUAUCAUAGGUUAAGUUAUAAAGGGCGUACGGUGGAUGCCUUGGCACUAGGAGCCGAUGAAGGACGGAACUAAUACCGAUAUGCUUCGGGGAGCUAUACGUAAGCUUUGAUCCGAAGAUUUCCGAAUGGGGGAACCCAGCCAACUUAGUCGUUGGUUACUGUAUUGUGAAUACAUAGCAAUAUAGAGGUAGACGUGGGGAACUGAAACAUCUCAGUACCCACAGGAAUAGAAAGAAAAAUCGAUUCCCUAAGUAGCGGCGAGCGAACGGGGAACAGCCCAAACCAAGAAGCUUGCUUCUUGGGGUUGUAGGACUGGCCUUUGGAGUUACCAAAGUCAGUGGUAGUCGAAGCAGUUGGAACGCUGCAUCAAAGAGGGUGAAAAUCCCGUAGACAAAACCACUGGCCCUCCGGCCAGGAUCCUGAGUACGGCGGAACACGUGAAAUUCCGUCGGAAUCCGGGAGGACCAUCUCCCAAGGCUAAAUACUCCCUAGUGACCGAUAGUGAACCA
rnacentral:sRNA from 2 species